UUACGAAUAAUGGACUUACACCAAUUCCAAGAAUAUCAAAAAUUCUUAUGCUCUUUACACCAACUCAUA
rnacentral:tRNA from 1 species